AUUGAACGCUGGCGGCAGGCCUAACACAUGCAAGUCGAACGGUAGCACAGAGAGCUUGCUCUCGGGUGACAAGUGGCGGACGGGUGAGUAACGUCUGGGAAACUGCCCGAUGGAGGGGGAUAACUACUGGAAACGGUAGCUAAUACCGCAUAACGUCACAAGACCAAAGUGGGGGACCUUCGGGCCUCACACCAUCGGAUGUGCCCAGAUGGGAUUAGCUAGUAGGUGGGGUAAUGGCUCACCUAGGCGACGAUCCCUAGCUGGUCUGAGAGGAUGACCAGCCACACUGGAACUGAGACACGGUCCAGACUCCUACGGGAGGCAGCAGUGGGGAAUAUUGCACAAUGGGCGCAAGCCUGAUGCAGCCAUGCCGCGUGUAUGAAGAAGGCCUUCGGGUUGUAAAGUACUUUCAGCGGGGAGGAAGGCGGUGAAGUUAAUAGCUUCACCGAUUGACGUUACCCGCAGAAGAAGCACCGGCUAACUCCGUGCCAGCAGCCGCGGUAA
rnacentral:rRNA from 1 species